rnacentral:lncRNA from 1 species
CUCAAUUGUGAGCAGUGCCCCAAAUUCCAGAUGAGGGUACAAAGAGCUUCAGAAGUGCUGGCCCAGCAGCCCUGAACUCACAAAGGGACAGCAGGUGCCAUACUCUUCUCUGGGGUGACCAGAUAGCUCAACACAGUCUGUGACCUCCCACAUUUGUCCUGCACAAGGCCACACUCUGAAUGUUUUGCACAGAUACCCUGAGAGCCCUAUUCUCUUCUAUUUUUUUCCUCUCCUCUCUUUUCCCAUCAAUCCUGCUUCUGUUCUCAUUCCCUAAGUCUACUCUGCCUGCCUUUGCCCUUGAAGCAUAGCAGCUCCAGGGGGCUAUAAGCCAGGCCAUUUCACUUCUCUUUUCUUCUCCUCAAUUUAAUGCAAACCUCUGUACUUUACGAGCUAAUUUUUCUAGGACCUGCUCUAUUGGAGUGGGGGGUGGUUCACUGGGUAAGUAGAACAUAGUACAGUCUAUCAAAGUAUUGCCAUAUACCAGAGGUAUGCAAAUAACUAAAACUGAUGUUUUCCACCCCGUCCUUCAAUUCUUAGCCACGGGGUGCUGCACAUCUAACUCAUACUCCUUCCCAGCCCCCAAGUAGCCUCACAUCGCCGUGUGUCCCUAAAUGACCCCUCAUGGUUCUAACCAUCCCAAUCCACUCUGACUCUGCCCGUCUUCCUUAGAUGGACUCUCUCACACCCUAAAUUCACAGAUACUCCCCUGUAAACAACUUUCACUACCCUCUUGAACUUAUCCAAAGAUUAGGAAGUCAAGGGGUUGUCACAGCUUAUAAGUGAGAAGGCAAUGCAACUCCUGGCUCCAUCACUUACCAGCUGGGAGACU